UACGUAGGGUGCAAGCGUUGUCCGGAAUUAUUGGGCGUAAAGAGCUCGUAGGCGGCCUGUCGCGUCGGCUGUGAAAACUCAGGGCUCAACCCUGAGCCUGCAGUCGAUACGGGCAGGCUAGAGUCCGGCAGGGGAGACUGGAAUUCCUGGUGUAGCGGUGAAAUGCGCAGAUAUCAGGAGGAACACCGAUGGCGAAGGCAGGUCUCUGGGCCGCAACUGACGCUGAGGAGCGAAAGCAUGGGGAGCGAACAGG
rnacentral:rRNA from 1 species